rnacentral:rRNA from 1 species
AUUGAACGCUGGCGGCAUGCCUUACACAUGCAAGUCGAACGGUAACAGGUCUUCGGAUGCUGACGAGUGGCGAACGGGUGAGUAAUACAUCGGAACGUGCCUAGUAGUGGGGGAUAACUACUCGAAAGAGUGGCUAAUACCGCAUGAGAUCUACGUAUGAAAGCAGGGGAUCGCAAGACCUUGUGCUACUAGAGCGGCCGAUGGCAGAUUAGGUAGUUGGUGGGAUAAAAGCUUACCAAGCCGACGAUCUGUAGCUGGUCUGAGAGGACGAUCAGCCACGCUGGGACUGAGACACGGCCCAGACUCCUACGGGAGGCAGCAGUGGGGAAUUUUGGACAAUGGGCACAAGCCUGAUCCAGCAAUGCCGCGUGCAGGAUGAAGGCCUUCGGGUUGUAAACUGCUUUUGUACGGAACGAAAAGCCCUGGGUUAAUACCCUGGGGUCAUGACGGUACCGUAAGAAUAAGCACCGGCUAACUACGUGCCAGCCGCCGCCGUAACAC